AGUGUCACGGAGUGACUUCGUAAGGGCGGAACUAAAAAAUGACGGAGAUUGGUUCCACCCGGACCAUAAUUCUCAAACACCGGGAACUCCGGGAAGGGAAAUCAGGGUUUUAUUGAUCGCAGGUGGAUAGAUGAACGGGGCGAUCGUGGAUUGGGCAGUAUGAAGAGAAGGAGGAGUAUAAAGAGGGCCUCAGAAACUGCAGAGGGGGGGAAAAAGUUCUUUGUUUUAUUUCAGCCGAUACGGCGAGAGAGUUGGAGUGUUUGGGCGAGUACCGUGGAAAGAAGGCAGAGGAUAUUGUUGGCUGGGCAAAGACGGAGACAAGGGUUUGGCAGAAACAGACACCGGGCUGAGUAUAUUGGAAUGUCUACUUAACUGUGAAAUGCUCCAUGGACAUGUGUAACAAAUUCUGAGUGGUUGAAAACAGGAAGACUCACCGGAAGUAUCGCCGAAGGAGGCCUUUUCGACAGGGCACGUGGCAGCAGGAGAAGUACCCAGGAGCUGGAAAGAAGAGGGAAAAGAGACCUCGUGUAGUAACGGUGUGAGUACCCUAAACCAUCGUACAGCAGUAUAAUCAUCUAGAGUGAACCAUCUGUGAGCGUUUUGUGAGUUUGUGGCAUAGUAUGUGAGCGGCCCCACUGUGGAGGAGGAUUGUGGGUGAGCCGGGACCAGUGAGCGAGAGAGGAUGUUGGGCUGUUGUGGCGGCAACGUUUAAAUCUGAAUAUUCGUGGCAUCAGUGUCUUCACGACUUCCAGGAAGAGUCUUUGGUCAGACGGGGUGUUGACCCUAAAUUCACCAGAGUGUGUGGAGUGCAGUGGGUGAGUCUUUGUCCUUUGCUGUGAGUGUAUACACUUGAAAAUUGCAGUGUUGUGCUGUGUUGUGUCGUCAACAACCACCUUUCAGGCCCGACGAAAUCCUGUGAAGGAAGUGAAUACCGAGGCUCGAAGAAAACAUCUCCAAUUAUAUGCCGUCGAUGACAUCCUGACCCUUCUUCCCCACGUGACGGUGGUGGGAAACAAUUUCAAGUAAGAACAGUGUGGAUCUACUGGGAAGUAUUAAUGGUGAGGAGUUGGCUGCUGUAGGAGGAAAUCAGCUGUGCGUGUAUUAUUACCUGCUGUGGAGUUCUUCAAAGGUUCGCCCCUGUCUAGAUCUCUUGACUUGUCGGUUGGUAGAAGCCUCAGAAAAGGAACGUCUGACGUCUAUUCCCUCGAAGGUCUGUGAGUUACAUCACUUCCUGUUUCCCUGUAUAUUCACCGUAAACGUAUGCCCAAAGCUAAAGCCAGCAUAUUGUGUUGUACACUCACCUGUCUGCCCAGAGUGAAGUCCCAGUUACCUUUGAUGUACUUACCUUAUGCCCAAAGCUAAAGCCAGCAUAUUGUGUUUUACGCUCCUGUAUGCCCAAAGUGAAGUCCCAGUUAUAUUGGAUGUACUUACCUUUAUGCCCAAAGCUAAAGCCAGCAUAUUGUGUUGUACGCUCCUGUAUGCCCAAGUGAAGUCCCAGUUAUAUUGGAUGUACUUACCUUAUGCCCAAAGCUAAAGCCAGCAUAUUGUGUUGUACACUCGCCUGCAUGCUCAAGUGAAACCCCAGUUGUCUUUCCUACGGACUUACUUGUGCCUCCGAGUGAAGAGCCAGCGGCCCCUCUGUCCACUAUCCGUGUCCAGUCCUGUUACACUUACACUUAUGCUUUUGUGCAGAUCUAGCGGGUCCCUUUGAAGCGUCUACCUGCAUGUCGACUCGUCACUCAGGAUACAGAGACCGCGGAAACCCCCUCCCGUACACUUACCAGUACGGUUUUAGUUGGAACCCGGUAGCCCUUGUGCAGUUCCCCCAGCAGCUGGACGACCGGGAGUACAACCCGCUGGGCCGCCUCGGAGUUCGUCAAAGGAAAGGAGAGGGCCCUGGACAGUCGUCCUGCAAGUCAGAACAAAGGGGCACUUGUGAAUAAGCUGAUUGUCGUCACAUAGCCAGAAGGAAAGAGGAGUGAAGGACUCACCUGAGAUCUCCCGUGACGGAGUCUAAGAGACUCGAGAUUGUUACUCUCCAAAAGGAGGGUUGGAUUUUAGCCUCCCUUCCCCAUACCCUUUUUUUUUAGUAAUUUAAUAAAGUCUGUUUUAAAAUUUACUUACCGGCUCUCGUGUGUCUGGUCAUUGGGGUAUUCUUGGGACCUCCUCGAGGUGGAAAUUAGGAAGGGGCGUGACUCACAACAUCUGUGGUCAGCUCCGACCUGUGACACUA
ensembl:lncRNA